rnacentral:rRNA from 1 species
GCCUAAAUUUUAGCCCUAAUUUUUCCUAUAACACCCCCGCACUAAACCACCGCCACUAAAACAUUCUAACAAUCUAGUACAGGCGAUCGAAAAACUUCUCAGAGCUAUAAAUAGUACUGCAAAGGAACAAUGAAAUAGAAAUGAAAGAACAUUAAAGCCCCACACAGUAGAGACGUACCCUCGUACCUUUUGCAUCAU